AGUACUAGGCUACUAAGAUCUAAAAUUUAAUUUCAUAUAUAAUUACAUCAACAUGCAAUUAUUGACAAAACUAUUUUAUGUCAUGAACAUAUCCUUGAUCUCAUCAAUUAUGUUCUUCAUUUAAUCCAAUUAGAUUUGAUGUAUCAUAUACAUCAUAUCAAAUCUAAAACUUAUCUUAUACUGAUUAUAAAAUAUUAAUUUUAAAUUUGAU
rnacentral:lncRNA from 1 species